AUGUCCCCAAAGCUACCUUCACAUCUAUUCCCUUACCUCAUCUUACUAACACUUGCAUCCAUUUAUCUCUUCUCUUCUCUCAUCUCUCUCCACACACCCUCUUCUUCAACCUCACAAUCACUUUCAAUCUCCAACUGUAACUUCUUCAAAGGCAAAUGGGUUUUCGAUCCAAAUCACACCCCACUCUACGACGACACGUGUCCCUUCCAUCGAAACACGUGGAAUUGCAUCAGAAACCAGAGGGAAAAUCUAAGCUUGAUCAAUUCUUGGAAAUGGGUUCCACGUGGCUGCCAUUUGCCUCGGAUCGGCCUGUUUCGGUUUCUUGGUGUGAUGAGAAAUAACAACGUUGGGUUUGUUGGGGAUUCGCUCAAUGAGAAUUUCUUGGUUUCAUUUUUGUGUAUUCUUAGGGUUGCUGAUGAGGGUGCACGGAAGUGGAAAAAGAAGGGUGCUUGGAGAGCCUACACAAGUAUUGAUUUCAUUGAAUAA
rnacentral:lncRNA from 1 species